AAAAUUAAAAAUUAAUAAUAUAAAUUUAAUAAAAAUAAUUUUAAUAUUAAAAUAUAUAUAAUGGGGGUUAAAGUAUUUUAAUAGAAAAAAUUAUAAAUUUUAUAGUAAAUUAGUAUAGUAAUAGAAAUUUGAAAUAAUUUAAAAUUAAAUUUUUAUAAAGUAAAUUUAAUUUAUUGUAUCUUGUGUAUCAGAGUUUAUUAAAUAGAAUUUUUAUAUAAAAAUUUCUCGAAUUUAAAAGAGUUAAUUAAUUAAUAAAUUUAAUGUUGUAUAAUUAUUUUAAAUAAUUAAUUGGAAAUGAAAUGUUAAUCGUUUUUAAAUAUAUCUAGUUAUUUUAGAAAAAAAUUUAAUUUUAAAUUUAUAUUUUUUUUUUAUUAAUUAUUUAAUAAAAAAAAAUAUAAAUUUUAUAAUUUAAGGGACAAGCUUUAAAUUAAAUUGUUAUAAUAAAUAAAAUAUAAAUUAAAAUUUUUAAAAUUUAUAUUGUUUAAAAAUUAAAAUUUAUUAUAAAAGAUUUUAAUAAAAAUAAAAUUUAAAUUUAAUUUAAUUUUUUAUAAAAAUAUAAUUUUUAAUAAUUAAAAAUUAAAAAUAAUGAUAAAAUAGUAUAAUAAUAAUAAAUAUAAAUAAAAUUUAUAUUUAAAUAAAUAAAAGGAAUUCGGCAAAAUGAUAUAUUCACCUGUUUAACAAAAACAUGUCUUUUUGAUAUAUAUAUAUAUAUAUAUAUAUAUAUAUAUAAUUUAAAGUCUAAUCUGCCCACUGAUAUUAUAUUAAAGGGCUGCAGUAUAUUGACUGUACAAAGGUAGCAUAAUCAUUAGUCUUUUAAUUGAAGACUUGUAUGAAGGAUUUGAUGAAAUAUAAACUGUCUCUUAUUUAAUUUUAUAAUUUAAUUUUUUAGUUAAAAAGCUAAAAUAAUUUUAAAAGACGAGAAGACCCUAUAGAGUUUUAUAAUUAUUAAUUUAAAAUAUUUAUAUAAAAUUUUAAUAUUUAAAAUUAAUAAUUAUUAUAUUGGGGUGAUAAAAAAAUUUAUAAAACUUUUUUUAAAUUUUAACAAAAAUAAUUGAAUAAAUGAUCCAUAAUUUAUGAUUAUAAGAAAAAAUUACCUUAGGGAUAACAGCGUAAUAUUUUUUUUUAGUACAAAUAAAAAAAAAAGUUUGCGACCUCGAUGUUGGAUUAAGAUAAAAUUUAAAUGCAAAAGUUUAAAAUUUUGAUCUGUUCGAUCAUUAAAAUCUUACAUGAUCUGAGUUCAAACCGGUGUAAGCCAGGUUGGUUUCUAUCUUUAGAAAAAUAAAAUAUUUUA
rnacentral:rRNA from 1 species